rnacentral:rRNA from 2 species
AAAUUGAAGAGUUUGAUCAUGGCUCAGAUUGAACGCUGGCGGCAGGCCUAACACAUGCAAGUCGAACGGUAACAGGAAGCAGCUUGCUGUUUCGCUGACGAGUGGCGGACGGGUGAGUAAUGUCUGGGAAACUGCCUGAUGGAGGGGGAUAACUACUGGAAACGGUGGCUAAUACCGCAUAACGUCGCAAGACCAAAGAGGGGGACCUUCGGGCCUCUUGCCAUCAGAUGUGCCCAGAUGGGAUUAGCUAGUUGGUGAGGUAACGGCUCACCAAGGCGACGAUCCCUAGCUGGUCUGAGAGGAUGACCAGCCACACUGGAACUGAGACACGGUCCAGACUCCUACGGGAGGCAGCAGUGGGGAAUAUUGCACAAUGGGCGCAAGCCUGAUGCAGCCAUGCCGCGUGUAUGAAGAAGGCCUUCGGGUUGUAAAGUACUUUCAGCGGGGAGGAAGGUGUUGUGGUUAAUAACCGCAGCAAUUGACGUUACCCGCAGAAGAAGCACCGGCUAACUCCGUGCCAGCAGCCGCGGUAAUACGGAGGGUGCAAGCGUUAAUCGGAAUUACUGGGCGUAAAGCGCACGCAGGCGGUCUGUCAAGUCGGAUGUGAAAUCCCCGGGCUCAACCUGGGAACUGCAUUCGAAACUGGCAGGCUUGAGUCUUGUAGAGGGGGGUAGAAUUCCAGGUGUAGCGGUGAAAUGCGUAGAGAUCUGGAGGAAUACCGGUGGCGAAGGCGGCCCCCUGGACAAAGACUGACGCUCAGGUGCGAAAGCGUGGGGAGCAAACAGGAUUAGAUACCCUGGUAGUCCACGCCGUAAACGAUGUCUACUUGGAGGUUGUGCCCUUGAGGCGUGGCUUCCGGAGCUAACGCGUUAAGUAGACCGCCUGGGGAGUACGGCCGCAAGGUUAAAACUCAAAUGAAUUGACGGGGGCCCGCACAAGCGGUGGAGCAUGUGGUUUAAUUCGAUGCAACGCGAAGAACCUUACCUGGUCUUGACAUCCACAGAAGAAUCCAGAGAUGGAUUUGUGCCUUCGGGAACUGUGAGACAGGUGCUGCAUGGCUGUCGUCAGCUCGUGUUGUGAAAUGUUGGGUUAAGUCCCGCAACGAGCGCAACCCUUAUCCUUUGUUGCCAGCGGUUAGGCCGGGAACUCAAAGGAGACUGCCAGUGAUAAACUGGAGGAAGGUGGGGAUGACGUCAAGUCAUCAUGGCCCUUACGACCAGGGCUACACACGUGCUACAAUGGCGCAUACAAAGAGAAGCGACCUCGCGAGAGCAAGCGGACCUCAUAAAGUGCGUCGUAGUCCGGAUUGGAGUCUGCAACUCGACUCCAUGAAGUCGGAAUCGCUAGUAAUCGUGGAUCAGAAUGCCACGGUGAAUACGUUCCCGGGCCUUGUACACACCGCCCGUCACACCAUGGGAGUGGGUUGCAAAAGAAGUAGGUAGCUUAACCUUCGGGAGGGCGCUUACCACUUUGUGAUUCAUGACUGGGGUGAAGUCGUAACAAGGUAACCGUAGGGGAACCUGCGGUUGGAUCACCUCCUUACCUUAAAGAA